GAGACCAUGGCGAAAGGGCGAACGCGGCGGUUUGUGACUCCGUUAGUACCAGUUCGAGUCUGGUUGGUCUCCCCA
rnacentral:tRNA from 1 species